CUGCAGUGAGUCAGGGCGGGGGGCGGGGCUGCGCGGGCAGCUGCUUCUCGCCCUUGGCUCCUAAUCCCCUUCCCGGGACCCUGAACUUGGGGCGACAAGGUUUUUGCUCUUCUCCGGGUGUCGGGCUCUUCUCUACUCGGAUCGUGUCCUAGGAAUGCCCUAAGAUUGCGGCGGAUUCGCCCCCCGGAGAGCUGACUGCCCUGGACGGCUGCUGACCUCUGGCAGAACUGAACCAAAAUGUCCCCGGAAUCUAAAAAGCUUUUCAACAUCAUUAUUUUAGGAAUUGCCUUUAUGUUCAUGUUCACCGCCUUUCAAACUUGUGGAAAUGUAGCGCAAACUGUCAUCAGGAGCUUAAAUAGCACAGAUUUUCACGGCAGUGGAUAUACCAGCAUGGCAAUUAUUUACGGAGUGUUCUCUGCUUCAAAUUUGAUUACACCAUCAGUGGUCGCCAUUGUAGGACCUCAGCUGUCUAUGUUUGCUAGUGGCUUAUUUUACAGCAUGUACAUUGCCGUUUUUAUCCAGCCUUUCCCGUGGUCCUUCUACACGGCCUCUGUUUUCAUUGGAAUUGCAGCCGCUGUACUUUGGACAGCACAAGGAAACUGCCUGACGAUAAAUUCAGAUGAGCACACGAUUGGGAGAAACAGUGGAAUCUUCUGGGCACUCUUACAAUCUAGCUUGUUCUUUGGAAAUCUCUACAUCUAUUUUGCUUGGCAGGGGAAAACUCAGAUAUCAGAGAGUGACCGGCGAACAGUGUUUAUUGCCCUGACGGUCAUUAGCCUUGUGGGGACCGUCCUUUUCUUUCUCAUUCGGAAACCAGAUUCUGAAAAUGUCCUGGGAGAAGAUGAAUCUUCUGAUGACCAGGACCUGGACGUCAACGAGCCCCAAAACAACACCUCAUUCCAGCCGUUGGUGGCAGCAGAUGUUACCGCUGGAGAUCCAGAUGCAUGAACAGGAAUGAGGAGUUCCCUGGUGGCUCAGCAGGUCUGCCCAGAACAAUAUGACAAAGGCAGUAGAUGCAUUUAAAAAGUCUCUUAGGUUAUGUGUUACCAAGGAGAUGCUCCUUCUUAGCGUGACAACCGCUUAUACAGGUGUGGAAAUGACUUUCUUCUCUGGUGUGUAUGGAACCUGUAUUGGCGCUAUAAAUAAAUUUGGAACAGAAGAGAAAAGCCUCAUUGGACUUUCUGGCAUUUUCAUCGGCAUUGGAGAAAUUUUAGGUGGAAGCCUCUUUGGCCUGCUGAGCAAGAAUACUCGUUUUGGUCGGAAUCCAGUCGUGCUGUUGGGCGUCCUGGUGCAUUUUCUAGCUUUCUAUUUAAUAUUUCUCAACAUGCCUGGGGAUGCCCCCAUUGCUCCUGUUGAAGGAACGGAUAGCAGUGCCUACAUCAAACCCAGCAAAGAAGUUGCCAUCUUCUGCAGCUUCCUGUUGGGUCUUGGAGACAGCUGCUUCAACACCCAGCUGCUCAGUAUCUUAGGUUUUCUCUAUUCUGAAGACAGUGCACCAGCUUUUGCAGUCUUUAAAUUUGUACAGUCCAUUUGUGCAGCCGUGGCGUUUUUCUACAGUAACUACCUUCUCCUUCAUUGGCAACUCCUGGUCAUGGUGCUGUUUGGGUUUUUUGGAACAAUUUCCUUCUUCACCGUGGAGUGGGAAGCCGCUGCCAUUGUGGCCCGGGGCUCCGACUACCGAAGCAUCUGACGGAGGAGGAGCCCGGGGGAGGCGGCCGAGACCGCGGGCCCGAGCGCCGGGGCUGGAGGCGGAGGCCGGCGUUCGUCUUCACCCCACUCGGGAGGGUGGUCCGGCCAGAAGGGCCGGCGCGGGACUGCGAAGUCUGCCAGAGCUGGUCUUCAGGUUUGCAGGUGCUUGUUUCAGACGCCUCGAACAAGGGAGGCUAGUGCUGUCGCUUGUCAUUGUGCGAAGAUGCCGGUUUUCAGUGCAUCUGUGUCUCAGUUCCUCGUGACCAUGGCACAGAAUGUCCGUGUUUCCUCUGCCCUCCUGUUCUCCUUGAAAAAUCAUGCUUUGAUCGAAACGUCCAGGCCCUGUGUCCUAUAGAGACUCUGGCCGCGUGUGGCGGUAGGUUACUGGGUAAUAGAGGCACCUGCCAUCCCACCCGUGUCUGGAAGUGACAUCUAAAGAAAUUGUUGGGAGUUCCCCUUGGUGGCACAGUGGGUUAAGGAUCUGGCGUUGUCACUGCAGCGGCGAGGGUUCAGUCCCUGGCCCGGGAACGCCCACGUGCCUUGGGCGCGGCCAAAAAAGAAAAAAAUAAUAAUAAAUCAUGCAACCCUGAAGUGGAAUCUUUGAAAAGGAUUGCACAUUCUUUCGCUUUCAGUGUUUUGCCUGAUAAGUUUUCUUACCUUAGGGUUCACAGCAAGGGAGGGGCCCAUCAAGUGUUGGAAAAUGAGCUGAAAGUUGUCUCCAGUUUUAAAAAUAGACACCUACCAUGUGCGCGUGAACAAAAGCACGUUUGAGGAAAAAAAACAGCACAGUUACUGGGGGAGGAGUUUUGCUCGUAUUUUUCCUAGAGGAUGGAACGCACUGAGGAGAAACCCCCAGCACCUGUCAAGAGGGCCGAGCUCUGCUGGCAGGUGGACAGCACUUGUGUCUCUCCUCACAGCAGCACCGUUCCGGUCACGUGCCCGGGAAUGAAGUGAAACUGCUGGGCGAGAGGUUUAGGUGGAAAUCUAACUUGAAUCCAUCGGAAGAGCUGCAAACGAUUUUUUUUAAAUCGAGGUAUAAUUCAGAAACCAUAAAAUUCACCAUUACGAAGUAUACGAUUUAAUGGGCUUUGUAGUAUAUUCCCUGGGUAGUGCAGCCGUCACCGUUUUCUAUUCUACAACAGUUCCGCCGCCCCAGAAGGAAACCCCGUGCCCUCAGUGGUCACUCCCCGGCCUCUGGCUGGCACUGGCCGGCAGUAGUCUGCUUUCCGUCUCUCUGGAUUUGCCUAUCUGGACAUUUCACAGAAGUGGGAAAGCUCAUUUUUGAAAGUGGUAAUUAACUACAAAUGAAGAGUUUUAUGGCAAAGUAAAUUUAACCAAGAAGAUAGCAUUAUUUUGUUUUCCAUUGUUUUUCAAAAACCUGCCAGAAAUUUAGAAAUUUUGUGGCAUGUGACUUUCAGACUUGAUGGCAAUGGCAGGGAGUCGGAAAACGCUGGAGUUGGCUAGAACCCUGCGAGAAAUGUCGCCCGUACGGGACACUACACUCUUUUGCCCCAAGUUGUAAGGGUUUUGCUUUUCUUGACGUUGAGAUAAACUCAGUUGCCAGUUGACCUUAUGUAAAUAAUUUGGAAGUGCUAUUUCAGAAUGCAGAUGAUUUUAUUAUCUCUUUAAGCACGUCACUGCUUAUCCAGGUGUAUUCGUUUUCUAUCACGGUAUAAAUAAAUUGCCCCAAAGAGUAGCGAUUUAAAACACCAUCUAUGGGAGUCCCCACUGGGGUACAAUGGGUUAAGCCCCUGACUGCAGUGACUCAGGUCGCUGUGGAGGUGUGGGUUCAAUCGCCAGCCCAGUGCAAUGGGUUAAAAAGGAUCCUGCGUUGCCAACUCCAAGGUCACAAAUCCAAGGUCACAGCCUGAGUUGGAUUUAACCCCUUGCCCAGGAACUUACAUAUGUUCUGAGCGCGGCCAGAAACAAACAACAACCAAAACAACACCGCCUGUGUAUUCUCUCGCAGUUUCUGUGGGUCUGGGGUCUGUAUGUGGCUGAGCUGGGUCCUCAAACAGCUGCACUCAGGGUGUUGGCUGGGCUCACCCCGGGGAGGCCCGGCGUCUCCACUUACUGGUCCUUGGCAGGAGCUGGUUCCUCGAGGCCUGUUGGACUGUGGGUCUUGUGUCCCAUGGCUGCUCUCAGGCAGCACGAAGUAUGGCAGCUGUCCCCCAGCAGAGAGAGCACGUGAGAGCAAGAGCCCAAGGAAAGUGCCAGCAGGUCUCCGGACACCGACUUUCUUAACUUACCUUGAACGUGACAGCACAUGCCUUUUGCUGUAUUCUCUUUACCAGUUGCGGGUCACUAGGUCCCGGCCCCGAUCGGGGGGGCGGGGGGCUCACAUGGGAGGGAGUGGGAGGAUCAGGAGGGGAUCCUGGGGAGCUCCCAAGGCUGCUGUCCCGCAUCUCAGCUGAGCGCCGGGUCCCGCGUUCCCGUGUCGCUCGUCUCCCAGGCCUGGGCUCCCUUUGCUCGUGAUGGGAGGCAGACGUGACAUAGCCUCUGUUAAUGCCACUGAGUCCCUUCACCAAGGCAGCCGGAGCCCCCUGUCACCACCGGUGGGCUUCCUGGCGGCUGUCGUCAGAGGGGAUGUGAAGUGAGUGACGUGGGUCCGGCCGGCAGGCUUCCUCCCAUUGCUCCGAGAGAUGUUCACGCGAAGUGCUGUGCUCACGUUUUGUGUUUUGGGGGUUUUGAUUUGUUUUUUACUCCGUUUUUGUGUCUAUAAUAGUAUUGCCCCUGGUGGACUUGUUAUUGGACCAGUAACACUAAGUUCAUCUUUUAGAUUUAUAUCAUUAUUUGAGUUAACGGUGAAAUGUGCUGAUGAAAUAAAGAGUUUACUUUUCA